AUGCCCCGGGGCGGCGGGGUUGGCUCUAACGAAUUUGAAUGAGGAGUCUCAGCGCUUUCGGCGCCAUUUUCGAGUGAUGCCUGAUCUCAUCAAUCUAGCGGGAGGGAAGGGAUAACCUGUCCGAGCCUAGCGCGACGCUAGGAUCACGCCGGAAAAUCCCCCAAAAAUCAUCAAAAAAAUUAACUUAGAGCAGAGGGCAGUCGGUGGGGCUUCGCCAGAUGCGGCGCAGUCGGUAAGAGCCUCAAGUAGCGAAGCGGGUCUCGAGAGGUGGCAGCGAUGGGACCGGAGGACCGUGAGGGGAGCAGGGACCGGACUCGGGGUCUGCCCUCACUUUCGCGGCAGAAGCUCCCCCAGGGGAUCCGGUUGCUAUUUUAACCAUUAGAAGAAUACCAGUUCUGGAAAACAACCAAAGUUUCUUUGAUUGAAUGCCCAUGUAAUGCAUUGGAAUAUGAUAGGCGAUUAAGGUUUAACAAUGUUAAAAUGAAGAUAUUACUAAAAUGGCCCUCUAAAUAGCCCAACAAUUAUUAUUUUGUAAGUAUUAGUUUCUAGCUCCUUCCUUCCUCAGUGACCCAUCACCACUGCAAUGAAGACUUGUGUUUGGUAUCAUAUUUCCAUAUAUCUGAUAAUUUUUCUAUUUAUUCUUGAAUAACUUAAAUUGCCCAUUAACACUCUAUUCAUGUUUGAUAUUAAUUUAGAACAAGAAUGAUUUCAUUGCCUCAGGAAACUUUACUAGUGUGGAAAGUAUUUUAUAGAAAGUCCCUGCUAUCUCCGAGUCUGAAGUCAAAAUAUUAAAUCCUUUCUUUAAAGUUUACAAAUAAGCAAAGAUUUUUUUUAAGGCUUAUACAUUUCUUUAUUUAAUUUGUGAGUUUAACUGCAUGUAUAUAUGUGUAAGUGUGUAUGGACCUGAUAUGCAGGAGAGAUGGAGACCAAGGUCAUCAGUAACAAUUGAGUGAAAUUCAGGACAGCCCUGCUUAUAUGAUCCCUUGUAUGGUCAGGGGGCAGUUGGGGGACGGUAAAAUUUAAACAGUUAUACCAGGUUCUGAAUUUUGGUGGGGUGUAUAUUCAUUUUCUUUGUCUGAGACAGCUUAUCUGCCUAGCCUUGAAUCUGUAUAGUAAUCCUUCUACCUCCAUCUCUAGAGUGCCAAAAUUAUAGGCAUGUUCCACUCACAACACUUAGCCACCCACCUGGUUUGGGUAGGAAUUUAAAUUUGCAAAUAUAACAAUCUGAUACAAUGUGAUUUUUUUUUUCACUUUUAAGCAUAAAUGCACUGGGAUAAUAUCCUCAGAACAUUUAGUGUGAAUUAUUGUUGUCAUCUUCUGUUCUGAAAUUUGAGCUUUUUAAAGUAUGAGUGUUCUGCCUUCGUGUAUGUCUGCAGUGCGUGCUGGAGGAAGUGCUUAGGCUCCAUGUGGGUGCUGGGAACUGAACCUGGGUCUUUUACAGCAACAAAAUGCUCUUAACCACUGAGUAACUCUGCAGCCUUGCAACUUGAAUUUCAAAAAUUUCCAUGUAAAAAAUGAGCAAAUUGAAAUACAUAUUCAGUUGUCAGUGAUCACCAUACCUGACUUGGCCUAAACAAUCAGUUUAGUUUUCCUUUCAUAGCCAUUAAAUAAAAUUUGGGUAUGUUGUUGUUGUUGUUGUUGUUGUUGUUGUUGUUGUUGUUGUUGUUAGAACAAUUUCUUUUUCAAAUAUGUUACAUAAGCUCAUUUUCCUAGAAAAAAAUCACAUGGAAAUGGAAUUUUUAACUAUUUAGUAGUAUGCCCUACAAAUGAUUCUGUCACUUUUCACAUAUCAAAUUUUAGAACUAGGAAUUUAAAAUGUUUAGAGAAGAAACAGUUCCAAAGAUUUUAUAGUGGCAUUAUUGCCACAUCAAAGAUAUUAACAUACCCAGCUUUUAACUUCCCAAAUUUGUUGCAGUAUUUCAUGCCUUUAGCUUUGCUAUUUAAGUAGAUUUUUUGUGCCCUGAGAAUUGUUGCUCUGUCAUCAGAACUUAAACCUGGUAGUGUUUUCUCCAUGUUCUUAGACAACUUCAUAAGAUGGCUAUGGUUCAGAAGCGUCCUACAAAGGCUUAUAUGUAUGUUAAUGGUUCAUUUGCAGAUAGGGAACCAGAAAGGGUCAGUGUACUAGAAUAACAGCCAUGGGAGACACUCAAAGGACAGUGUCAGGGUUCGGACCUCAGAUUCUGUAUUCUGUCAUUGUGCUCCAACAAAUUACUGGUUGCUUAUUAUUAAAUUCAAAAAGUAUCCCAUUAUUCUGAUGCAGUCAAGAUGAUGAUAUAGCUUGGGCAACAUGCCUAUAAAUGUUUGUGAAGUGCUAAGCUUUAUGGAAACAAGAUGAAUUAAUAUUAGAAGUUUUAUAAGGUAAAAAGUAAAUGUUUCUAAAGAAAAAUAUUAAUGGAAACAAAUAGAGUUGAAGGGGGAAAUAGGACAAUUUGGUUUGAUCUAUCUUCUUAAAUUGUUGUAAAAUUCUGUUUUCUUAUACGAAUAAUAUUAAUUUCAGGUAUUUAAAGAUUGCCAUGUAUUCCUAUGUACACUCAAGUUACCUUCUUAAGCAAAACAUUUUGUUUUCUUUUCAGAAUGGCUUUUUUUUCCUUUUAAGAACAUUAGUAAAAAGUUGAACUAUGUAAAAACCCAACAAAGAAAAAUUAUUUUGGUCCUUAGGCCAGAAUAUAAACCACUGAAUUUGGAACGGGGCAUGAUGGUGCACGCCUUUAAUCCUAGCAUGCAGGAGGGAAACCAGGCAGAUAGAUCUCUGAGUUCCAGUCCAGCCUGGUCUAUAGAAUGAAUUGCAGGACAGCAGCCACUGUCCUCAAAACCUCUCUCAAAAAACCACUGAAUUUGAAAUUAUAAUCAUUGUAUAAAGAUAAAGGACAAAAUCACUUUUAGCAGCUUUUAUCUUUAUUUUCAGACUUUUUUUUUUUAAGCUGGCACACUUGAAAGCAAAGGUUUGAAGAUUUAAAGACGUUUUGAUAUUUCAAAUGACCCAACAUGAACGGGAAUGGAGAAAUGGCAUUGACCCACUAGAAAACAUUUGCUACACAGUAAUCUAGUUUGAAUGGAAAAUCUGGUAUGAACUGGAAUAAUAAGAACAGUUCUUUGUGAAGGGAUGGCUAAGUCCCCCACUAAACAGAAAAGAGUCUUCUUAAUAGUGUAAGAAAACCUAGAUAUUCACACACACAUAAAAUGAAGUUGGAACUUAACGUAGUAAAAAUUUUGUUUCAGCUAAGUCAAAGUCCUGUGGUAUAAAAUGAUACUCCUUUAAAGGACUAGCCUUUUUAACUGGGAAACACACAAAUGGUUACUUAGGCUUGAGCUACAGGAUUUCUGAUAUAUCCUUUUAGGAAACCAAAUAGACCUGUUAUCCUAAGAUGAUGUUCUGGGUAAUAAUAAAUGACACUGAACUCACAAUAACUAUUCCAAUAUUGAGAUAAAUCUUGUGUUCAUGUGUAGAUUGGGGGUUAUAUAUUUUUGGGGAAUAUGUUUCAUGUGUAUGUCUUCUAAAUAUUUUGCUAGUAUAAAUUUCUUGAAACUGAGCUCUUACAUGUUUGUUCUUACAUGUUUCCUUUAACAUGAAGCUUUGUCCUAUGGAUUUGGCUUUGAAAGAUGUGCUGCUCUUAAUAAGGUAAAAACCAACUUUUGUAGCUAUUUCAUGUGUUAAGCACAUUCAAAAGUUGUUAGUUUAAUAAAUGAGGUUCUUAAGUUGGUAUGGGAAAAUGACUUGCUUUUCUCGUUUCAUGACUACAAUAAAUUACAGCACUGU
rnacentral:lncRNA from 1 species